rnacentral:rRNA from 1 species
CCGGCGACCGGCGCACGGGUGAGUAACACGUAUGCAACCUGCCCUCUUCAGGGGGACGAACCUUCCGAAAGGGAGGCUAAUCCCGCGUAUAUCGGUUUCGGGCAUCCGAGAUCGAGGAAAGAUUCAUCGGAAGAGGAUGGGCAUGCGGCGCAUUAGCUAGACGGCGGGGUAACGGCCCACCGUGGCGACGAUGCGUAGGGGUUCUGAGAGGAAGGUCCCCCACACUGGUACUGAGACACGGACCAGACUCCUACGGAAGGCAGCAG